UGACCAUUUCUGCCUUAGCUUGUAUGCUCCUAACCUGAAAGAGAAAUUUUUAUUUACUCAUAAUCAAAUAAAUAAGCAUGGAUUGGUUUCCUUAGUUUAAAAAAUAACUUCCCUUUGCUCUUGAAAGAGACCAUGAAGUUAUAGCCGGGUACCGCUGGGGCCACACCGUCAUUAAGCUUUGGCGAGAACAUCAAACCGUGCCCAGGGUUGAUGUGGGUAAAAAAACAGACUGCUAUCUUUAAUUGUUUGUCGUAGGUGAUCACCAUUUAUUUGAGUCAAAAUAUUAUCUCUUAAUCUUCCUUCCCUCCCCACAGAAGAAUAAGCGUUUAAUUUUCUUCAAACAGAUUGAUGAUGGCAAGUUGCAGCUGGAUACACUUGGCAAACGGAUUUGCCAUCAUCUGAUAGCUGGCUAGCCAGACUCGUAGAUCGAUGCGUCAAAUAAAGCAGCUGAAUUCUUUGGAACUAUUUCUCAAGUCAAAGAGACAUGUACUUUCUUAAUGGGCAGAUUUUAUUUGAGUUUGUAUUCACCUUUAAAGCUGAUAAGAUAAACUGAAGUCAUAAAGGCCAUACUACCAUUUGAUUCAGAAUGGAAAUUAUUUCAAAGUUUUGUCUACUUUGCUGUCUGUAAACCGUGCACAGUUUAACAGUUAGGGCAGUGAUACUGACUUCUGUGUAAAUUAGAAAUCCGGAUGCAUCAGAGAAAAGUUUCCCUAAAAAAUGUUUCUUAGGAAGAAAAACUCUUCCUAAACCAUCCAUCUUGUUUCAUCAGUCUUAUUUCAUUUGCUGCUAGAAAUCUAAUGUGUGUUCAUCAUUUAUGGCCUUACGAAGUCAAUGAUAUGAAAAACCAAUAGCUAGCGAAUCAAUUAUAAAUUAUAUUCAGUAUAAAGAGCAUCUCAUCCAGUAAGAAUCAAUGUUUAGAAAAUGUAAGAUACACAUGGAUAAAAUCCCUAAAAUCCCCUAGAACACCACUCUCAACUCCAGCUUUGUUUUAACAUUAAUAAUUUAAAAUUACUCAGCAGUCACUUUCAAGUGUCCCCUUUGUGAGGUACACGCAUUUUUUUUCUGUAUUCCUUUUAUCCUCCUUGCCUUCAGAAGGAGUUUGGUUUCCUCUUCGAACAAGGACUGUGGCUGGCAGGAGGGAGGAAAGCAGUCUCUGUCCUCCACCCACGAACACCCACGGCACCGACAUACCAGUAAGAAACGGUUUCCUUUCUGCCACUCGCUCCGUGGAAAUGACAUGUAACCUUGACAUGGCGUGGCAGCGGAGAGCCAGCUCUUUCAAGGCGAGAGGCUGAGGAGCUGGCUGCGGGAAGGCACCUUCGGUUUAGUUCAGAAGCUGAAAUGCAGAAGACAAUCGUCCCGGCAAAGGGAGCCCACCUCCAGCUGAGAACGCGUGCACUGAGCUGACCUUCCUCCUCAGCUUGCCAGCUGAGAUUAAGCUUUCUUCAAGUGGUCCCUUGUCAGCCCUGCCUUCUCUCCAGUGUUGCUCAUCUUUCACAACUGGAAGCCAAGUGUUUCAAACUGUUACUCAAUUUUGCAGCCAAAUUCCUUUAUUUCCUUCCUCCUCCUCCUUGUCUCCCUCACACACACACACACACACACACACACACACACACACAUGGCUAACCUUACAUUUGUGCCUUCCUUUCCAAAGUCGACACUCAGAAGAGGACCUGCGAAUUUUUAUGUUUCACUGAAAAGCUGUUAAAUAUUUCUGUGCUUCUUUUUUCUUGAAACCUUAAUUAAGUAGAACAGGGACAUCUACAAAAGAUGUCUAUUUGCAAAAAUAACCUGCCUUUGAUCAAAAAAGCCGCAAAAGUGUACUUCUCAGGAAAGUAGAAAACCACACAUGAUCUCAAGUGGAAAAAAUAUAAAGAAUUUGCUGAAUUUUUAACCUUAGUACAUAACAAAGAUAUUAUUUUAAAGUUGGUUGGUUAAUGUGGGCUGUGUUAGAAAUUUCAUUGUGCUGUGUUUGGGUUUACCCAAUGUUAUUUUAAUGAGUUUAUUGGUUCAACAUACAAAACACCACAUGGCACUUAAGUUUUCAGGUUAUAAAUUUUCUUGGGAGGCACUUACUUGAAGGAACUCGGUUACAUAAUCAACUGGUCUUUCAAUCUAUCAGCACGAAAUAACCUUUCACUUUUUGUAUACAUAUACAGUGAGGAUUAUUUGGUUAUAAAAACCAAAUAAAAUUUUCCAUGGAAGAAGUCACAUUCCUAAAUCAUCUAUUUUUGUGUACGUAUUGAGACUUUGGUAAUAAACACUUAUUCCACAGUU